GUUAUAAAACAAGUGAAACUGCGAGCUACUGCUCACUGAUGAUACCCCCGCCGCAAGUGGAUAAUAUUAAUAGUGUAAAAAUAUGCAAGUGUUCGGUAAACAGGAAGUUGUCGAGUGAUGAAUCUGAAAACGCAUCACACGGUAUAGCUGACUUAUAUAAAUCCUGAAACCAAAUUUCAGAAAUCCUUGUAUUGUAGUUCCUGAGAAAAAUGUGACGAAAAUUUUCAACUUGGCUAUCAUGUGUAAAAUCAUACAAGUGUUCGGUAAACAGGAAGUUGUCAAGUGAUCAAUCUGAAAAUGCAUCACACGGUAUAGCUGACUUAGAUAAACCCUGAAACCAAAUUUCAGAAAUCCUUGUAUUGUAGUUCCUGAGAAAAAUGCGACGAAAAAUAUUCAUGGGACGGACUGACUGACGGACUUAUGGACUGACGGAAGGACAGACAGAGGUAAAACAGUAUACCCCCCUUUUU
rnacentral:lncRNA from 1 species